GGGCCGUUCGUCUAGCCUGGUUAGGAUAUCGCCCUUACACGGCGAGGGUCGGUGGUUCAAAUCCGCCACGGCCCA
rnacentral:tRNA from 1 species